UCCGGUUUGUCACCGGCAGUCUCCUUAGAGUUCCCAGCAUGACCUGAUGGCAACUAACGACAGGGGUUGCGCUCGUUAAGGGACUUAACCCGACACUUCACAGCACGAGCUGACGACAGCCAUGCAGCAUCUGUGGUGCACCCUCGAAGGUCACACGUUUCCGUGCGCUCGCAGCACCAUGUCAAGCCCAGGUAAGGUUCUUCGCGUUGCAUCGAAUUAAAGAACAUGCUCCGCUGCUUGUGCGGGCCCCCGUCAAUUCUUUUGAGUUUUAGCCUUGCGGCCGUACUCCCCAGGCGGAACACUUAACGCGUUGGCUUCGGCACAGGGGGAUUCGACUCCCCCCACACCUAGUGUUCAUCGUUUACGGCAUGGACUAC
rnacentral:misc_RNA from 1 species